GACGAACGCUGGCGGCGUGCUUAACACAUGCAAGUCGAACGGAAAGGCCCUGCUUUUGUGGGGUGCUCGAGUGGCGAACGGGUGAGUAACACGUGAGUAACCUGCCCUUGACUUUGGGAUAACUUCAGGAAACUGGGGCUAAUACCGGAUAGGAUCUCCUGCUGCAUGGUGGGGGUUGGAAAGUUUCGGCGGUUGGGGAUGGACUCGCGGCUUAUCAGCUUGUUGGUGGGGUAGUGGCUUACCAAGGCUUUGACGGGUAGCCGGCCUGAGAGGGUGACCGGCCACAUUGGGACUGAGAUACGGCCCAGACUCCUACGGGAGGCAGCAGUGGGGAAUAUUGCACAAUGGGCGGAAGCCUGAUGCAGCGACGCCGCGUGCGGGAUGACGGCCUUCGGGUUGUAAACCGCUUUCGCCUGUGACGAAGCGUGAGUGACGGUAAUGGGUAAAGAAGCACCGGCUAACUACGUG
rnacentral:rRNA from 1 species